rnacentral:rRNA from 1 species
GUGUCAGCAGCCGCGGUAAAACCAGCACCUCAAGUGGUCAGGAGGAUUAUUGGGCCUAAAGCAUCCGUAGCCUGCUCUGUAAGUUUCCGGUUAAAUCCAUUAGCUCAACUAAUGGCCUGCCGGAAAUACUGUAGAGCUAGGAAGUGGGAGAGGUAGGUGGUACUCGGUAGGAAGGGGUAAAAUCCUUUGAUCUAUUGAUGACCACCUGUGGCGAAGGCGGUCUACCAGAACACGUUCGACGGUGAGGGAUGAAAGCUGGGGGAGCAAACCGGAUUAGAUACCCGGGUAGUCCCAGCUGUAAACGAUGCAGACUCGGUGAUGCCCUGGCUUGUGGCCAGUGCAGUGCCGCAGGGAAGCCGUUAAGUUUGCCGCCUGGGAAGUACGUACGCAAGUAUGAAACUUAAAGGAAUUGGCGGGGGAGCACCACAAGGGGUGAAGCCUGCGGUUCAAUUGGAGUCAACGCCAGAAAUCUUACCCGGAGAGACAGCAGAAUGAAGGUCAAGCUGAAGACUUUACCAGACAAGCUGAGAGGUGGUGCAUGGCCGCCGCCAGCUCGUGCCGUGAGAUGUCCUGUUAAGUCAGGUAACGAGCGAGAUCCCUGCCUCUAGUUGCCACCAUUACUCUCAGGAGUAGUGGGGCGAAUUAGCGGGACCGCCACAGUUAAUGUGGAGGAAGGAAGGGGCCACGACAGGUCAGUAUGCCCCGAAACUCUGGGGCCACACGCGGGCUGCAAUGGUAGUGACAAUGAGUUCCGAAACCGAAAGGUGGAGGUAAUCUUCAAACGCUACCACAGUUAUGAUUGAGGGCUGCAACUCGCCCUCAUGAAUAUGGAAUCCCUAGUAACUGCGUGUCAUUAUCGCGCGGUGAAUACGUCCCUGCUC